UCCAGGGUAGCCUAGUGGACAUGGCAUCUGCCCGGUAAGCGGAACAUUGUAGGUUCGAUUCCCAUCCCUGGAC
rnacentral:tRNA from 1 species